CUGCUGCCUUCCGUAGGAGUUUGGGCCGUGUCUCAGUCCCAAUGUGGCCGGUCACCCUCUCAGGUCGGCUACUGAUCGUCGCCUUGGUGGGCUGUUAUCUCACCAACUAGCUAAUCAGAUGCGGGCCCAUCCUGCACCGAAUAAAUCCCUUCUUUCCCGGAAGAUGCCUCCCAGGAACCGUAUGCGGUAUUAGUCAUCGUUUCCAAUGAUUAUUCCCCAGUGCAGGGCAGGUUGCCCACACGUUACUCACCCGUCCG
rnacentral:rRNA from 1 species